rnacentral:rRNA from 1 species
AACGAACGCUGGCGGCAUGCCUAACACAUGCAAGUCGAACGAGACCUUCGGGUCUAGUGGCGCACGGGUGCGUAACGCGUGGGAACCUGCCCUUAGGUUCGGAAUAACUCCCCGAAAGGGGUGCUAAUACCGGAUAAUGUCUUCGGACCAAAGAUUUAUCGCCUUUGGAUGGGCCCGCGUUGGAUUAGCUAGUAGGUAGGGUAAAAGCCUACCAAGGCGACGAUCCAUAGCUGGUCUGAGAGGAUGAUCAGCCACACUGGGACUGAGACACGGCCCAGACUCCUACGGGAGGCAGCAGUGGGGAAUAUUGGACAAUGGGCGAAAGCAUGAUCCAGCAAUGCCGCGUGAGUGAUGAAGGCCUUAGGGUUGUAAAGCUCUUUUACCCGGGAUGAUAAUGACAGUACCGGGAGAAUAAGCUCCGGCUAACUCCGUG